UGACAACUGAAACCACAAAAUGGUAUCGUCACUUAUGAGUUGGUAAUUGGUAAAUAUUUACAUUUAAGGACAAGAAAACCUUAUAGAACAGAGCUGAAGAUAAGGCACCUUCCUGCUCAAAGGUGCAUGUGGGUCACAUGAAUAAUGGAUGUCAGGCUGAACUGCUGCUGAACUCCGGCGAUGUCAAACCUGCACGCCCAUUAUACACCCGUCUCUGCUGAUGUGGCCCUGCAUUCAUUCACACGCCUCUGUCAUCGCUUUGGGUGUGGCCGAUCGCCUGACACUCUCAAACAACUCGAGCUUUGUUCGACCGCAUGGCCUUUGUGAUCCAACGAUUUACGUGUCCAUAUAUGAGGUCAGAUAAACCAGCGUGCCGACCGGAGACCUCGUGCAAGGUCUGAACUCAAGAGCGUCUUUCUCUGGGGAAGGUCAGACUCCAUCAGCCCGCCGUCACGGAUGAUGAAUAUGUCUGCAGCCUGAGGAUGAGUGGUGACAGUCAUAACGCUGGCUGGGCGUGACAGUGAUCUCCAGCAGUUUUGACACAUUUGAAGGGAUCCAAGGAAGGAGAUAAUUAAAGCCAUACCGAUGCCUUCUGAUCAACUUUUACUGGAUGUAAGACAUGAAUGAAUCGAAUCAAGGACAGAUGUGCUGUUGCUUUGCAAGCAGUCGGACGGCUGAAGAACAGGUGAAAACAUUCCCUUACCCCCACUGGAGCCAAGCAGCCGCAUGGCAUCUCGGUCGCAUGUUUUGCGCACCUGGGGAAAAAAACGCGGUUUUCGUUUGUAUUUAUCCUCCUCCUCGUCAUUUUUAACCACCCUUGCAGGCUGAAUUACCAGACGGGUCUCUGGCCUUUUCUACUUCAUCAUUUUUGUUUUAUUACGGUUGCACAUGUGGCACAUCUGGCGCCAUGCCCGAAUCAUUACUUACUUUUUAUGUUCGGCUCGCCGUCGCCAUGGAAACUGCUGCAUGUUUGGCAGCGAGCCUUUGAAGGCGAGCGAGAGAGGGGCGAGUAUUGCGAGCUCUCAGGAAUUGGCCUACAUCCAGUGUAAUCAUGGCGGGGAGCUAAAAUGAGCCGUUUGGCAGCACACCAGGUUUCAGAGAACAAAGAUGUGAGCCACUAAUGUUGGCCGCAGAGCCUGCUUGGCAUCCUUUACCAUUUCCCAGCAGCCCCUUCCACGGCUGCCUGCCAACCCCCCGCCCCACCAACCCGCCCCCGCUGGGACGGCAAAGAGGAUCUGAAUAAAGAAAGAGACUUGUUUUUCUCCGAGCUCCCCUGCUCCAAUGACAUCACCUCUGCAGCCUCUAGCCCCAGAUUCCAGACGCCGAGCACAUUUUUUCUGCUCCUCUCUCUCUCUCUCUCUCUCUCUCUCUCUCUCAAGCCUCCAUUUUGACUGAAUUCCUCCAUUUUAUAAUUGCUCUACCUCCUCUGUGUCACGAAACGUCCGCUCCGAAAAAACGAGAAUUUGUUUUUUACUCUGAGAGUGCUACAGAAAUAACUCGUCACAGUUAGACAAAUACAUCAAACUGUUGGGAAUUCUUAGUUAUGAAAAAAGGUUUUCUAUUUAUUCAUGUAAACUCGCAUUUUUCAGAAUCAAAAUAGGUGUUUGUUGGCUAAAUAAGUAAGAACACACAGCAUCAUCACAUACCGUACGUGCAAUACAAGACAUAUCAGGUUUUAUGUAAAUAAUUGAUUACAACCAGAUACAACAUACAAAUGUCUGGUGAUUUUAAGAAGGUUAAUAACAUUUUAUCAAGUGUACGUGACAGUAAAAUGUGCAUGUCAACAAAUGCAGUGUAGACGAUUAAUAAUCACAAAAGCGGAGGUGACACAAUAGAAUGUAAGUCACAACACAAAAUAUUCACUGCUGAAUUCAUGAGGCGGAGGGAAAAAAUAGCAACGCGGUAAACAGGAUGUGGCCUGUCAGUGGGGCUAUCCUGGUGAGCGCAGGAGUUGCCAUGGUUACCAUUUCCUGAGAAAUGUACAGCCAAUCAAAAGGAGGGAAGGAGAUUUCACAGACCGUCUGCGCUAGUAAAAACAGGGUGAAAUGACAUCGUGUCAGAGGGUUUACGCCACACACUUGAGUGAAGCAUAAAGCACGUACACGUUUCAGCAUGCCCCCUCGUUUUAUAGCCCAGACGUCUGCGUCUCUCUGAAUGUGUCUGAGUCAAGGUUUUACUGCCGUUUAACAGCUUCAGACACUCCAGAUAAAAAGGAAUUCUGGCGAUGUUAUAUUUGCAACUUAUAUAAGAAAAUCAAUAUUUCAUUUGUGUUGUUUACAGCGCUGCGUCCUGGAACAUCUGUAGCACACGGGUUAUAUAACACUGAAAAUGGGCCAUCGCGUGGAGGGAGAGACACGAGAACACUCGAGACUGUGUGCUGCUGGGACACAUAGGGGAAAGAAAACACCUUGACGCACGGUCGCAGCAUCGAGCAAGAAUCGAAAGUUGAUGUUGUUUUUCGAUACAAUGACACCGUGACAUGAAAAAGCAUCGAGGUUGGCGCUUUUCGAAGUAUGGCGUUAGAAAUGCCGAGUCACGAUCCGUUGACACAAUAUCAAGAGGUGACCUUCCGGCUAAUAUUUCAGGAACAUUGCCCUUGAGUGACACCACAAUGUGUUGACGUGAAAUCUGAUAAGCCUUAAAGGUUAAUGCAAGAGGAAUUAGUUGUCAGGCUGGAAAGGAGAGACAAUAUUUACAGUUUCAAGGGCACAAAACACGCCACCGUGCCGAAGUUCCAUCAGGCAGCCCGAGUGCGUGGGGGUGAAAACAAGUCCUGGCCACGGGCCAAGAGAUUUGAUGUUCGUUGAGAAGGGCGCGGCGAGCUGUGGGUACGUGACUAAACAUCUUACUUCCUCUUUCCAACGUCACGAGGGCUUGCACAAACACAUCCUGCCCUGUGUCUGCAGAUUUCAGAUGCAUUGAUUCACCCGAAGAGCCCUGAAGCUGCACUUUGUUGGAACGGAUCCAAAACACGAGGGAAGGCCCGAUUUACCGUGUCUUUCGGACAUUGUGUGCCCAGACCUGAUCGCCCCAAACGUGCACACCCAACCAGACGAGAGAAACAAAGCAUGUUCGAGGGCAAAGCUCAUGCUGUGUUGUUGCAUAAUAUUUCACUGACUGUUUUACUUCAUACAGUACGUAUGACAGAUAUGUGUAGGACUGUCAAAACAUGCAGUGCGAUGCAGAUUAUUACUUAUUUACGACACUGGGGGUGUUAGUAUUUCUGUACACUGCUCAAGAACUGAAAUGUCGAGGCAUUUCCAAUGAAGGAGGAACAAACUUUGUUGAUAUGUAUUUUUUAUGCAAUAAAACAACUGUCAAAAUAGUUACUCUCAAUAUCCAAAAUAAUAUUUAUUUAAUACGUUGUAAGUUACAAUUGUUAUUGUUUAUUAA